GCUGGGAUGGCCGAGCUAGGUUAAAGGCGCAGGUUUGCUAAACCUGUGGGUAUUGCACCCACGGGGGUUCAAAUCCCCCUCCCAGCG
rnacentral:tRNA from 1 species